rnacentral:lncRNA from 1 species
CCCCCAAUUAACCCAGUAAGCGCUACGCAACCGCUUCGUCCCCGCUCGCCCCCGUGACCCCACCCGCUCGCCUUCGCUGCUCGCUGCUGCCGCCGCUCGCCCCCACAGCAGCUCUACCCCAGCCCGCUCGCCCUCGCCUCCCUACUUCUCUCCGGCGACGCAUCUUCGGGACAGGACGAUUCGGGCCGGCGACGCAGCUUCGGGAGAGGAUGAGAGAAGAGGGGAGGAAAAAGAGAGGCCUGGAGGCGUGCUCCGACGGCUGUGUGGCGCGCAGAAUUGGAUCGGGGUGCUUCCCCACAGCCGCAGCCGCAGCCGACUAGCGACACCACAUGCCCAAAAUCAGGUAGAGGAUCGAUCAUCCAGUUCCCGUUCCGCGGUCCGCCGGCAUCGCCGACGUCGUUUCUUUUGGUCCCGGGCAAAACGUCGCAGGGCUUCGCGGAGGACACCUCGGCCGCGGAGGAGGAUGGCGACCUGAGGAACCUGAUGCGCUGUCGCAGCCACCUCGUCCAGACCUACUCGGACAAGAAGGGCGACGCGGCCGCGCGCGGGAACCUACUCCGGGAGCUCGUCGUCGUCACCCCGCGCUUCGCCGAGGCGGCCGGACGCCAUCGGCUCUGCUUCN